UUGGUCUUUGGAUUUUGUUUUGGAAUAAAAAAACAAACAAAACACCACUCACUCGUAGCGUUCUCUUCUUGUUCUUCCUCCCUCCUCCUCCUCCUCCUUCCUUCCUUCCCUUCCUUCCUGUGUCUCCUCUCCUCCUCUCUCGUCGUGCUGCUGCUGCCGCUGGGCUUGGGCUUGGGCUUGGGCUUGGGCGGGCCCUAGAUCCGGCGGUCCUCCGCCGCCGACGCCCUGCCGCCGCCGGCCUUAUCCGUUCAUCGCGCGCGCGGGGCAUCCUUAUCCUUAUCCUUAGGGCAGGGCAGGGCAGGGCAGGACCAGACCACAUGUGCCGUCAACCGUCGACACUUGAGCUGUCUCCAGAUGAGCAGCUUGCUGCUGAAGAAACCUUCAAGUUGUACUGCAAGCCAGUUGAGCUCUGCAAUGUUAUCCAAAAACGAGCCCUUGAUAAUCCCGCUUUUCUGCAAAGAUGCCUCCAUUACAUGAUACAGGCAAGCCGCAAAAAGAGGAUUCAACUAACUGUAUCCCUUUCUCGAGGCACAAAUACUGACCACAACAUCUUCCCCCUUUAUGUUUUGUUAGCUACACCUACUAGUGAUAGCAUCCCACUUGAAGGGCAUUCUCCGAUAUAUCGAUUCAGUCGUGCCUGUUUGCUUACGUCAUUCACUGAAUUUGCUAGUAAAGACCACAACAAAGCCACAUUCACAAUUCCAGACGUCAAGAAUAUAGCAACCUCCCGAGCUUGCAACCUCAGCAUUAUCCUUAUCCGUUGUGUUUCAGAUUCAGAAGGGCAGGUUGGAGAAAAUAACUGCUCUGGGGACCAUGUGGAAGCAUCUGCUCUCCGAAAGCUUGAAGGGAAAUGUUUCUGGGGUAAAAUACCAAUUAAUUUACUUGGUUCGUCGUUGGAGAAUUGCGUGACUUUAAAUUUGGGACAUACUGUGGAGUUGGCUUCUACAGUUACUAUGAACCCAAGUUUCUUAGAGCCAAAAUUUCUGGAGCAGGACAGUUGCUUGACAUUUUGCUCUCAUAAGGUUGAUGCUACGGGUUCAUAUCAACUCCAAGUUGGCAUAUCCGUUCAAGAGGCUGGUGCAAGAGACAUGUCUGAAUCUCCGUAUAAUAGUUACUCAUACAGUGAUGUCCCACCUUCAUCAUUACCUCAUAUUAUAAGGUUAAGAGCUGGUAAUGUGAUUUUCAACUUCAAGUACUACAACAAUACUAUGCAAAAGACUGAAGUCACCGAAGAUUUUGCUUGCGCCUUUUGCUUGGUAAAGUGCGGAAGCUACAAGGGCCUGGGGUGUCACUUGAACUCAACGCAUGACCUAUUCCACUUUGAGUUUUGGAUAUCUGAAGAAUGCCAGGCUGUUAAUGUUAGUCUGAAGGCUGAUGCCUGGAAAAUGGAGCUUGUGGGCAAGGGAGUUGAUCCAAGACAUCAAACAUUUUCCUACUGCUCAAGGCUUAAGAUGCGUCGUCGAAGGUCGCUAGCCACAGUUGAGAAUAUAAGCCCUGUACAUCCACAUAUCAUGGAUUCAGUUUCACCUGAAGAUGCCCAGGCAGGAUCGUCUAAAGACGAGUUUGUUCAGAGGGAAGAUGAUAAUAAUUCAGUAGCACCCGAUUCUGCCGAGCAUGAUCACUCAUUAAAUGGUAGCAAUCUUACACCACCGACAGUACUAGAGUUUGGGAAGACAAGGAAACUAUCUGCGGAGCGAAGUGAUCCCAGAAACCGACAACUUCUGCAGAAACGUCAGUUCUUCCAUUCUCACAGGGCACAGUUACAACUAGCAGGUGGCAAAUCUAAUACAGUUUUCUGCCAAGGUUUCACUUGUGCCAGCCAAUUUGAUGCCAAGGCUUCACUCCAAUGGCAGUGGAACAAGUUUUGUCAGAUCAUGACAGCGAGGAUGAAGUUGACGAUGACAUUGCCGACUUGGAAGAUAGACGGAUGCUUGCUGAUUUUCUUGAUGUCACGAAAGAUGAGAAGCUUAUUAUGCAUAUGUGGAAUUCAUUUAUUCGGAAACAAAGGGUGCUAGCUGAUGGGCAUAUACCUUGGGCCUGUGAGGGCUUCUCCCGGCUUCAUGGACCGCAGCUUGUACAAAACCCUCCUCUGCUCUGGUGCUGGCGUUUGGUGAUGAUUAAGCUGUGGAACCACAGCCUGCUGGAUGCGCGCGCCAUGAACACAUGCAACACCAUUCUUGAGGGAUACCAACCCAAGAAGAAGACGUUUUAAUUCCAAGAAGAAAAUGUUGAUGUUUGCCGGAUAAUUCUUUCCUACCAAGUCGUUUCCCCUAAGAUAGAUAUUUGUCUUUUUUUUAUUUAAAAAAGUCACUCUCCAUACUUUUGAAUGUUUAGACUUUGCACUUGUCGUUCCCCUUUUAAAUUACAAAUUCUCCAAAGAAAUUGGUAAUCAAGUCACAAAGAAUGUGUUAGCUUUCCCCGACAUAUAAAGGGCGCUUUUCUUUUA